GGAUGAAAAUGAGUCUGUUUGGGAGUUGAAGUGCUGGGAUUAUACUCCAUUCGCAGAUGAUUAUGAGUUUCUCAACUCUGUAGCUGCUAGAAAAAUGAAAUUGUUUUCAUGACUACAAUUUAUUGUUACAUUCUUAACACCGACAAGACUACCUGGAAGCGAAUUUAUUUUGCUGAGUUCGUUGAACGCGAUUUUUUUUAUUGUCUUUCCAUACAAGAAAAGCCUUCUCCCUUGUAACUGAUUCUACAUUCAUCAAGAGGGGAUGGAAAUAAAGCGAGAAGCAUGAUGCUUGCUCUGGUGGGUUUCUUUUCAGUUUGAAAACAUUUCUGGUGGGACUCUUAUUCUCCAGUUUUAAAAGUUUCUUUUACUUUGGAUAUUUUAGUUUCCCUGCUAUGUACUCGAGGAGUAACAGUUGUUUAUGUAUUUCUUUUGUUGCAUAUCCUGGAUAUGUUGAGCGUUUUAACAUUAUCCCGUAUGAACUCGUAGAGUAACAGUGGUUUAUGUAUUUCUUUUGUUGCAUAUCCUGGAUGUGUUGAGUGUUUUAACAUUAUUGUCUUACCCUUGUAAUUCUACCUUGUGUUUGAUUGCUGUCUUCCCAUUGCAGUUUGCAUUACCGACAAGCAUUUUUUGGGGGGCAUUCACUCUGUGAGAUGUUGUCUACUCGAUAGGACUUACAGGCGAAUAAGAAUUCUUCGCAUCUGACAUUUCGUUCAUUGGUUUCACAGGAUAGUUUUACAUGAGCCAUAGGCUGUUCUUCAAGAAUCUUUCCCACAAUGAUAACAGUAUACAUCAUUCUAGCACCGACUACUAGGAAUUCAAGUUCACUUGUUUCUCUAUGAUCCCGUGAACUCUACGGAAAACAGACUCUUCUUUUACACAUCGAUGCUUCUUGCCUGUACUAUCAAUGCUUCUUGCCUGUAGUGGUUUGAGGUUUCCAGUCCGUUGUACCAAAUUUCCAUCUCCUUUGUUGCAUUGUCUAAAAGCUCACCCUCCUCUUGCUGUUUUCACAUCAACAAUCUCAUUGAAUAUCUGAAUGCACUUCCUAGCAUGUUUCCUCUUGAUCACAUUCACAGCGUAUAUUGAACAGAGCUCGGUUUAGGAGAAAGAGGCGAACUCUGGGCGUUUUCUUCUUGAUCUUAUUGCUAUUUUAUUUGAUCUGCCUUCCAACAGCUCCUCACCUUUCCACUCUCAAUUUAUCUUUCGUUUGGCCAAAUCUUGUUCUUUCUCUCUAUCUCUCUGCCUGUAGAUUUUAUGUUCAAAAAUAUAUGUAUUUCGUAUGUUUUAAGAGUUAACAACUAACUCAUAUAUAUGAAUAGUAAAGAACCGGUUACAACCAACCA